rnacentral:rRNA from 1 species
AAAUUUAACUCCCAACCCCUGUGACAUACCUAUUUGUUGCCUCGGCGGUGCCUGUUCCGACAGCCCGCCAGAGGACCCCAAACCCUGAUUACAUUUAAGAAGUCUUCUGAGUAAACCGAUUAAAUAAAUCAAAACUUUCAACAACGGAUCUCUUGGUUCUGGCAUCGAUGAAGAACGCAGCGAAAUGCGAUAAGUAAUGUGAAUUGCAGAAUUCAGUGAAUCAUCGAAUCUUUGAACGCACAUUGCGCCCGCUAGUAUUCUGGCGGGCAUGCCUGUCCGAGCGUCAUUUCAACCCUCAAGCCCCCGGGCUUGGUGUUGGGGAUCGGCGAGCCUCCGCGCCCGCCGUCCCCUAAAUCUAGUGGCGGUCUCGCUGUAGCUUCCUCUGCGUAGUAGCACACCUCGCACUGGGAAACAGCGCGGCCACGCCGUUAAACCCCCAACUUCUGAACGUUUGACCUCGGAUCAGGUAGGAAUACCCGCUGAACUUAAGCAUAUCAAUAAGCGGAGGAA